rnacentral:rRNA from 1 species
AUUGAACGCUGGCGGCAGGCCUAACACAUGCAAGUCGAACGAGUGGCGGACGGGUGAGUAAUGUCUGGGAAACUGCCCGAUGGAGGGGGAUAACUACUGGAAACGGUAGCUAAUACCGCGUACCAUCGGAUGUGCCCAGAUGGGAUUAGCUUGUAGGUGAGGUAACGGCUCACCUAGGCGACGAUCCCUAGCUGGUCUGAGAGGAUGACCAGCCAAACGGGCAGUGAGAGACGGUCCAGACUCCGACGGUGGGCAGCAGGGGGGAAUAUGGCACAAUGGGCGCAAGCAUGAGGCAGCCAGGCCGGGGUGAUGAAGAAGUCCUUCGUGUUGGAAAGUACUUUCAGCGAGGAGGCGUUACCCUCAGAAGAAGUACCGGCUAACUCCGUGCCAGCAGCCGCGGUAUUAC